rnacentral:piRNA from 1 species
UCUGCAGCCAGGUGGACUAUGAGGCUCCAA